rfam:Tupaia chinensis contig55678, whole genome shotgun sequence.
GUGCUCGCUUCAGCAGCACAUACACUAAAAUUGGAACGCUACAGAGAUUUGCAUGGCCCCUGCGCAAGGAUGACAUGCAGAUUCGUGACACAUUCCAUAUUUUU